rnacentral:lncRNA from 1 species
CAUAACAAAAAUGAUAAAAGAAAAAAAGUAGUAGACUAAUUGACGAAGGGGAGAAUGUUGUUAAGAAGGGGGAGAUGUGCAAAUAGUUUUUGGGGCGUGGAGGCGGAGCUGUCAAGGAUGGUGCUGGGUUUAUUUUAUAUUUUGUCACUUUUUUUAAAAAAAAAAUUUAACACAUUUGUGAGCGUGCUUUAUAUUCAAUAAUUUUAAAGAGGGCUACUCGUUUACGGAUGUCAAAGAUGUACUUUUAAAUAAGAAUAAGGGUUAAUAGG